rnacentral:rRNA from 1 species
UACGUAGGGUGCGAGCGUUGUCCGGAAUUAUUGGGCGUAAAGAGCUUGUAGGCGGUUUGUCGCGUCUGCUGUGAAAAUCCGGGGCUCAACCCCGGACUUGCAGUGGGUACGGGCAGACUAGAGUGUGGUAGGGGAGACUGGAAUUCCUGGUGUAGCGGUGAAAUGCGCAGAUAUCAGGAGGAACACCGAUGGCGAAGGCGGAUCUCUGGGCCGAUACUGACGCUGAGGAGCGAAAGCGUGGGGAGCGAACAGG